rnacentral:rRNA from 1 species
AGUGAACGCUGGCGGCAGGCCUAACACAUGCAAGUCGAGCGGCAGCGCGGGGGCAACCCUGGCGGCGAGCGGCGGACGGGUGAGGAAUUCGUCGGAAUCUGCCUUUUUGUGGGGGAUAACGUAGGGAAACUUACGCUAAUACCGCAUACGUCCUACGGGAGAAAGUGGGGGACCGCAAGGCCUCACGCAGAAAGAUGAGCCGACGACCGAUUAGCUAGUUGGUGGGGUAAAGGCCCACCAAGGCGACGAUCGGUAGCUGGUCUGAGAGGAUGAUCAGCCACACUGGGACUGAGACACGGCCCAGACUCCUACGGGAGGCAGCGGUGGGGAAUAUUGGACAAUGGGCGCAAGCCUGAUCCAGCCAUGCCGCGUGUGUGAAGAAGGCCUUCGGGUUGUAAAGCACUUUUGUCCGGAAAGAAAUCCCUGGAGCUAAUACCUUCGGGGGAUGACGGUACCGGAAGAAUAAGCACCGGCUAACUUCGU